rnacentral:lncRNA from 1 species
UUGUGUUGGAUUCUGGUGACGGUGUCAGCCACACAGUUCCCAUAUAUGAGGGUUAUGCACUCCCACAUGCCAUCCUUCGUCUUGACCUGGCUGGUCGUGACCUUACUGAUGCCUUGAUGAAGAUCCUCACUGAGCGUGGAUAUUCUUUCACCACCACAGCCGAAAGAGAAAUUGUGAGGGACAUGAAGGAAAAGCUGUCUUACAUAGCUCUUGACUACGAGCAGGAGCUUGAGACCUCCAAAACCAGCUCAUCAGUUGAGAAGAGCUAUGAGUUGCCUGAUGGUCAGGUCAUCACCAUUGGUGCUGAACGUUUCCGUUGCCCAGAGGUUCUCUUCCAACCAUCCAUGAUAGGAAUGGAAGCUGCAGGCAUCCACGAGACAACAUACAACUCCAUUAUGAAGUGUGAUGUUGAUAUCAGGAAAGACUUGUAUGGUAACAUUGUUCUCAGUGGUGGCUCAACCAUGUUCCCUGGCAUUGCUGACAGAAUGAGCAAGGAAAUCUCUGCACUAGCCCCAAGCAGCAUGAAAAUCAAGGUGGUUGCACCACCUGAGAGGAAAUACAGUGUCUGGAUUGGUGGUUCUAUCUUGGCAUCUCUUAGCACCUUCCAGCAGGUUGGUUCAAAUUCAGCCAUGGAUGUACACAAAUAUUUCCUUAUAGGAGUUGUCUUUGACAUUGAUUUCUUAAUGUGCACUUUGCUCUUUCUUCUUUAAUUGCAGAUGUGGAUUGCAAAGGCAGAAUACGACGAGUCCGGGCCAUCGAUUGUGCAUCGGAAGUGCUUUUAAAUGUUCGAAGAAUAGGAUUGUCAAAGAAAGAGAGAGGAAAAGAAGUGUUAUUUUGUGUCUUGGAAAGAAGGGGGUAGCUUGCCCCCUUUCCUUUCUAGCUUUGUUGUCCUUGUACGUUUAUUGUGUUGUUGGAGUGAUGAUUUUGAGAAGGCGAGAAGUUGUUCGCCAAAAUGGUCCAAAUUCUUUCAUUAUUACUAUUGUAAGAAGUUUUUGACUCUUAAAUGCAUUUUCAGCUUCAGCUUACCAUCUUUUGCGUUUGAGUUUGGGUUUUUAUUGAUUAAUAAUGGCAAUCACAUGAAGUAGUUUUUGGUCAGAAAGGCAAGUGUUCAGGAGGUAAAUAACAAAAUACUUUUGACAUCAGAAGCAUUUGCUAAGGUUAUUAACCAAGAGGAUCCUUUGCAAUCAAGAAAAAACAAUGAGUUUAUGCUGCUUCUAAUAAAUUGUUUCUAGCUCAAGAGGAUACUUGUCACUCUUCAAGUAUCAACAUGCUUGAUGUUAAGACAAGAAGAAUUAUUGGGUGGUUAAACUUUUAAGGCACAGUAACAAGGAGAUGAGCAUACGCCAUUGCCAAUCUAUUUUCUGCAUUUUAAUACAGGAAAUGAAACGUGAAGCCUCAGUNNNNNNNNNNNNNNNNNNNNNNNNNNNNNNNNNNNNNNNNNNNNNNNNNNNNNNNNNNNNNNNNNNNNNNNNNNNNNNNNNNNNNNNNNNNNNNNNNNNNNNNNNNNNNNNNNNNNNNNNNNNNNNNNNNNNNNNNNNNNNNNNNNNNNNNNNNNNNNNNNNNNNNNNNNNNNNNNNNNNNNNNNNNNNNNNNNNNNNNNNNNNNNNNNNNNNNNNNNNNNNNNNNNNNNNNNNNNNNNNNNNNNNNNNNNNNNNNNNNNNNNNNNNNNNNNNNNNNNNNNNNNNNNNNNNNNNNNNNNNNNNNNNNNNNNNAUUAUAGCCGAUUAGUAAAAAAUUUACUAAUAAAAUAAUAAAUUAUUUUUUUAACAGUCACAUAUAAUACAAAAGUAAAAAUUCAGUAAUAAUAAUAUUUUAUUUCACCAAUUAUACAAGCUUUUAAGAAAAAAAUUAAUAAUUUUAUUUUUAUUAAAUAUAAAAUUAUAAUGAUAUCAAUGUCAUAUGACAUUAAAUAAUAACUCCUCGAUAUUGUCUCAUUUUCAUUAAGAAAAAAAAAAAAAAAGGAAAUUGUAUCUUCAAAUCCAAUCUGCACUAUUUGCAUUUAUACAAUCGAAACGGUCUUUUCUAUUUCCUAUUAUGCAGUAGACAUCCUUUUUUUAUACUUUCAAUGUUUGUAGGAGCAAUCAUUUCAUGUACUUCAUCUCAUAACUCUCUCUUUCUCUCUCCAUACCCGCCUUCACAUUUAUUUUCAUUAAUAUUAUAUUUUUUUUAUUUUCUACAAUAAUGUUAAUUAAAUAUUUUCUUUUAUAAAAAAAAUUAAAAUAAACUCUAAAAAAAAUUUAUUUAAUUUUAAUUUAAAAUUCAUUUACUCUCUUUUCUUUAUAAAUAAAAAUAGAAAUACUAAUUAAUAUAAUAACUUAGUUUGAGAAAUUUUUUUAAUGAGUGUUGUUAGACAAAAUAUUUAUAAUAUUAGCAUUUAAAUAAUUAAUUUAUGGAGGAGUUAAGUGAAUAUGUACAAAAUAGAGCAUGUUUAUAGGAUUCAAUUUCGAUAUAAUUAAUAUAAAAAAUAACUAAAAUUAGUUAUUUAUUAGAUUGAAUUUUAGCAUCUAUAUAAAUUUAGAAUUUUACUUUAUGCUGCAGAUUUAAUUUUGUUAUUUAUUUGUUAGUUAAAUUGUCAUCCCCCUCUAAAAAAUGUAAUUAAUUUGACACAUGGAUAUACUAUAGUAUCAAACUACUAAAACUGAAUAGUCAUUCAAAAAAAAAGUCAAAAAAUUAAAAAACUAAAUAUCUAUCCUGACAGAAAACAAAAUUAUCAAUGAAUCUGGUCAAUGUAAAGUUCGCUAAAGAAAUUGAAUUUAAAUUUAAUCAAUAUUAAAAUGACCAAAACUAACCACUUUAUCAGUUAAACUCCUAACAUUUGAUAAAUUAUUUGAAAUUUUUUCUUAAUGACAUGAAAUUUCAAACCCAGGGAUUUAAAGAGUUAUAUCAACUAAUUAACUUAGUUUAUGACUAUGAACACACUAAGCCAGUAACCAUAAUAUUAAGUUUAUAUAAUUGUUGUUCAUUAAUAUUUUAAUUAUUAAUUUAAUACAGUUGAUCAAAUAAGUUCUAAUAAAUAAUUACAUAGAUUAUUAUCAUAAUUAAUUCUCACCAUAUUUACAAUUAUUCUUUAAUAACAUAAAAUUAUAUAUUCUAUUUUCAUUGUUGUUACUAAACUCUAUAUUAAUUAUUUAAUUUAAAUAUAGGAUAAACUUUAAGAGAUUACUAUAUAGUUUAGCGAUUUUAGAUUUGAGAAAUAAAUAUAUUUUUUGUAUCAAAAAAGUAAUAUGUAUUUUUUUAUAGUAUUUUUUGGGUACAUUCAAUGUUUUUCCCAUUUUUGAGAUUAUAAAUAUUAAUACAAAAUAUAAAAUUUUGAUAAAAUAAAUAUGUUUAAGUAAUUUAGCAUUUGACUAGAUAUUUUGUGAUCAUAACAAAAUGUUAAAAUAUAAAUUUUUCAAUUUUAAUUAAAUUUAAAAAUAUCUUUUAAAAUAAAAUUUUAAUAUAUUUAUGAACUUGACAUUGCAUUGUUAUAUACCAUAUUGUUUAUAAAAUCAUAAUUUAGUGAUAACUCAAAUUAAAUAUAUGCAAAAUUAUAUAAAAAAUAAUAAAAAUAUAAAUGUGUAUCUAAGAAAUGCUAAGAAAGUAAUAAAAAAUGGUACCCUUAAUUAUAUAUGAAAAAUUAUACAUUGAAAAUAAUAUCAUUGCUUAAUUAUUCCACUUUUAAUUUAUUAUUUAUUUAUUUUAAAAAUCAAGUUCUAUAAAUAUAGUAAGUUUUUAAAGUUCAGAUACUACAUAGUUACUUUGAUUUUUUGUUGAUGUUUAGUUGAUGCGUGAUUGAUUUUAUGAUUGAUGUUUGGUUGAUUUUCGUAUUCAUGAAUUAUUGUCUUCAAUUUCUUUUCCUUGAACUGUUUUUUUUUUUUUGGUAUCAAUUUCUUCUUUUUGCUUUUUCUCUUUGAUGUUUUAAUAUAAAAGAAGAAAUAUUGUCAUUUUCAAUUUCUUUUUCAAAUUUCUUGAAUCUUUCUCUAUGUAAAAGUUUAAUUUUUUAAAAUUUUAUAUAAAAUAAAUUAUUUUGAUUUGAAGUCUUUUAAUUUUUAGGCUAAAUUAUCUUAGUUGAUGUUUUAUUGAUUUUUAGAUCUAUGAAAAUUUAUUUUCAAUUUCUUUACUUAAAUUGUUAUUUAUUUUUUGAAUAAAUUUUAAAUAUUAGAAAUUCUUUUUAUUGAAAAGUUAUGUUUAUGUGUUAAGAAAUAUCAUACAUUGAGGUUCAAUUUCACAUUAAUAAUUUUAUCCUCUUAAAAAAAAAAAAAUUUCAUCUUGAAGUUGACAAAAAAAAAGGUUCUAUUGAUAUAAAUAAAGUGAAAGUAAUUACAUAAAGUAAGAAAAAAAUCCUAUUAAUAUAGAUUUUUGAUGUGGUUGAUAUUUAGUUGAUUUUUAAUAUAUUUAACUUGAACGUAUUUUUAUAAGUAUAUUUUUAAAAAAUAUAUAUUUCUAUAAAUCUUUUUCUUAAAAUACAAUUAUUCUUAUAAUAAAAAAUAUUUUUGUAAAGAACUCAAUUUUAUAACGCAACUUAAAUUGCAAAAGCUAGAGUCGAACUCAAUAUAAAUUCUACUAAAGAAAAGUGCAUAUAACUCUACUCAAUACAAUCAUCCAAAUUCGAACCCCACUUAAUAUUUUAAUGAUCUCAGAUUAAGCUUCAACUUAAUGAGUUUUGACAAAUAUAUUAAAAUAUAUCAUACAUAUCAUUAAUAUAUAUAAAAAUACAAAAAAAGUGACGAAUAAAUUUACUAAAAAUGUAUUAAUUAUUAUUUAAUUAUUCAAAUUAAUUAAAAUUGACGAAUAUUAUUAAUAAUUCAUUAACUACAUAUCAAAUUUAGAAGUCUAACUAUUAGAAUUUUCUAAUGUUAGUUAUAAAGUAGAAUUUUAAAAAGAUAAUAAAUUUAAAUUAAAAAAAUAUUAAGAAAAAAAGUGGCAUUAGGAAGAGGAAUAAUAAUAACAAUAACAUCAAUAAUAAUAAUAAUAAUAAUAAUAAUAAUAAUAAACGAUCUAUAUAUAUAUAUAUAAAUAAAUUUAUAAGACCUAAUUUUUUUUAACAUGUAUGCUUAGUUUUUAACAUAAAUAAUUAUUUUUUUGACAUGUAUAUUUAUUUUUGACACAUGGAAUUCAAGCUUAUGUGUUAUUUUGUAGCUCUUUUUAUUAAUUAAUUGAUUAAUAAGUUACACUUCUAAUUAAACACUCAUUCUAAUCCUAAAAAAUAAUAUAUUAAUAAUAAAUUAAUUUUCUAAUUAGAUAAUGAUUAUUCUAAAAAAUAAUAUAUUAAUUAUAUUUUAAUAUAAUAUUAACUAACACAUUAGUUUUCUAAUUAGAUAAUGAUUAUAAUUAUAGAAAAUAAAAUUUUUAAAUAUUAUAUUCAUUAAAAAUUAAUUUUAAUUAUAUAAUAAUUUUUAAUUUAAAAAAGAGUAAUAUCAAUUAUAUUGAUAGUAUUAAUUCAUAUAAUAUUAGANNNAUUCUAUAAUAUUAGAAUUAAUAAAUAAAUAUUUUAAAAAUAAUUUUUAUAUUAUUACACUAAUAAAAUUUAAAAAAAUUAAAGAUAUUUAAAAAUAGUUAGUUUGCUAUUAUUUUUUAAAAAAUUAUAAAUUAAUACUAAAUAUUAAAAAAUUUAUUAAAUUGUAUCUAUAAACUUACUUUUAUAAUCGAAAUAAUAAUAAUGGCCGUGAAACGUAUGAGUAAAUAACUAGUAAUAAUAAAAUUUUGCACUUGCAGAAAGGUGAACUUUUCUUGUAGAUGUGUGAGAGGCAAACAAUUGAAAAUGAAGAAUUAGGAGUAUUUAACACUUUUUAGUGGAUUAGAAAUUUAUUAAAUUAAUAAAUAUUUAUAUAAUUUGUAGUCUUGUAGUUAAAAUCGUAUAUAAUUUUGUUAAAUUUAUAUGAAUAUUUUCUUAAAAAUGGGAAUUUAAAAUUUUUAAAGUAGAAUUUCAAGUAUAUAGAAAAAUUAUGAGAUAUAUUAUCUUUAAUUGGAUCUUAAGUCAAAAUAAAAAUAUAACGUCUAUACUAGAAUUAGGAUAAUAGAAGAGUAUAUUAAUAAGUUAAAUUAUUAAUAUUCACAUAUAUUGAACAAGCAUGAAAAAUAAUUUAUUUUUUAUUUAAUUUCAUAAAGAUAAAUAAUAAAAUAAAACAUUUGAAGAAAAAAAUCACAAAUAAAAUUUAUUUAUUUAAUAGCACCAUAAGCAAUACGUAUUAUCCAAAAUAAUGAAUCAAUAACUCAUCAUUAUUAACACUAAUUUCAAAUUUAUUGACAUGAUUUAAGCAUAAAACUUUGUAAAAUUUUUGUAGUAAUUUGGAUAAAUAUUUUACAUUUUAAAAAUUCUUGAAAAGUAAAUUAGCAAAUUUUUAUUCUUGAAAAAAACUAGUAAUAAUAAAAUUGUAAAAUAGUAAAAAUCUCAUGAGCUUGUGAAUCCAACAUUGAGAUGCCUGAAUUUAACUUGUCAAUUUACUCAAAUAGCUUAAUUUUGAACUCCAUUUAAUUAAUAUCGACUCAAUAUUAAUUGUAAUUUUAGUAUAUCUAGCAAUAAGGGACAAAAAAAUUAGUAUAUUUAGUCAAUUCCAAUUCAUUGGUUUAAGCCUUCAUGUUUUUAAACUUCGGUGAUAAAUAAUGAUCAAACUAUAUCUUGCCAUCACAUCUCUCUUUAAGCCGGGCGUCUGGAUUUUUAAUAUAUUAGCAAUUUGCACGUAAGGGGUAGUUGCCCGACUUCCUUAGUUUGAUAUCUUCCACCUCGCAGUUAUGAUAUCUAUAUUCAACAAUUUUCUGAAAAUAGCCAUAAGCAUUAGCUAAUACGAGCCCAAAAUUGGUAAAAUUUGGAUAUGAACUAGAAGAACUAAUCCAGAGCCAAUUCAUUUGAUUGGAACUAAAAUCGCCGACUCCAGUUUAGGAACCAACGGUUCCGAUUUCAACAUGAGAAAUUGUUUUUAGCUAAUUACUUUCUUUUAAUAUGGGUUGGAAUCAAUGAAACCAAAACUGCUAAAUUUUAAAAGUCAAUAAAUCGUAAAAAGACAAUUAAAAACUACCAGUUCAUAAACCAUGAUUAGAUUUACCUAAAAAUAUAGCGAAACAUACUUGCCCAAUGCUUUUUCACAACAUGAAAAUUAUUGAAGGCUACUAAAUAUAGUCUUGGAAUGGGAUUAAAAAAAAAAUUGGAAUAACAUGAUCUUAUGAGUAAUAAUAAGAGAUGUCCAAAUUAUACUUUUAAGUUAUAAAAUUUUAUUUUUAUCUUUUCUUUUUCAAUAAUUUAAAUUAUAAAGGUCCGUAUUAAUACAUAACUUCAUUAAAUUAUGUAUCUUGAUGAAUCUAAAUAGAAUAUUUUGAUUGAGCUCAAGUAUAUGAAAACUAUCUUCUAAAAUAAUUAAUAUGAAAAUUCAAAUCUCAAUUGAUAGAAUAAUGAGAAAGUCAUUUACCUUUGGCGCCAACUUUGAAUAAUUUUAUAAUAUUCAUUCUAGUUAUUCAAUCUUAUAAUGAAAUAUUUAGUCCUUUACCUUAAUUAAGGACACUUAAAUAUGAAAAAGAAUAUUAAUAAAGUAAAAAAAAAAAAAAAAAAAGGUGAGAAAAUGGGCAUGUAGCAUUUAAAACAACGCGCGAAGGUCGGAUUUGAAGUUUUAAAGCUCGUGACGCGUUCCUUUGUGCAAGUUGUGCCCACACAAAAAAGAACUAAAAAAGAAAAAUUAAAAAAAGAAAAAUUAAAAAGCACAAGAAUAUCCAACGGCUCACAUUGAAUCUCGCUCUUCCAUAAAAUGACCAUUUCUGUGUUUUUUUUUUUAAAACAGAAUCAUUCACUCCCAUUUUGCUACUUUCUCUCUCAAUCUCAAUUGAGGUACUUUCUUCUUCUUCCUCUUCUCUUAAUCAUAUUAAUUUUCUCUUUGUUCUCCGAUUCACCUAAUCUUUCUGUUUAGCUCCGACAGAAUCUGCUACCGGAAUUGUUGAGUUUGUUUUCUUUAAGUGUGUUUUUUCUUUCAGAGAAAGAGAAUUCUAAAUGUUGAAUUUUGCUUAGGAUUUUUUUCCUUAGUGAUUAUAUUGAGGAUUAUUUCUUGUUGUUAUUUUUAAAUAAAGAGACUAGUUACUCAAUAAUCUAAAUCUAUAAUGGAACAAGUCAUGAACAUUAGAUGAUACAAUGCCUUUAUUUCAUUUAUGGAGUGGUACAUUAAUGAUUUAUUACCUUUGUCUAGAUGUCUCGGAUGAGAUGCAUUGGAUUUAUGUAUGUCUUAUUGUUAAUUUACAUUUGAUUUUGUCUCCUGUAAUGUACCUUUGUUACAUAUAAUGGCUGUUGUUUCCGGAAUCUCUCUAAAUGACCAUAAUCAUACAAAAUGAUGCAAUGAUCUCACAAUGUUCUAUGAACUACUAUGUACGUUUCAUUAGUCGCCGUUUUCUAUGGCAGGCAAUAGAAGAUGGCUGAUGCUGAGGACAUUCAACCCCUUGUCUGUGACAAUGGAACUGGAAUGGUCAAGGUAUGUUGCUGGGCUUUAUUGACUUUGUAUUAGGGACAUUAAGCCAAAUGCAUGUCUUAACAGGAAAUAGUUUUGUUUGUUAAAGACAAAUGACUCUUUCUGGGAACUAGAUCGAACAGGCUGUUGAUUUCUUAUGUUGUUUCUUACUACAUGCGUAACAGGGCUGGUUAUUUUGUAAUAUAUUGAUUCAAAACUUUUAAACAAUGUGUGUAUGUUGUUAUUCUGGAAAUUGAUUACAACAUUUGCUUUUAGGCUGGGUUUGCUGGAGAUGAUGCUCCACGUGCUGUAUUUCCCAGCAUUGUUGGCCGUCCUCGUCACACUGGCGUGAUGGUUGGUAUGGGCCAGAAAGAUGCAUAUGUUGGUGAUGAGGCUCAGUCCAAGAGGGGUAUUUUGACUUUGAAAUAUCCAAUUGAGCAUGGUAUUGUAAGCAACUGGGAUGACAUGGAAAAGAUCUGGCAUCAUACAUUUUAUAAUGAGCUUCGUGUUGCCCCAGAAGAGCACCCUGUACUUCUAACUGAAGCUCCUCUGAACCCCAAGGCUAAUCGUGAAAAGAUGACCCAAAUCAUGUUUGAGACCUUCAAUACUCCUGCUAUGUAUGUUGCCAUUCAGGCUGUUCUAUCCUUGUAUGCCAGUGGUCGCACAACAGGUAAGCAGGCAAAUGAUUUUCUUCAUUCAGUGAGUGCUUGUGAUUCUAAAACUGCAGCUAUUCAAUGUGCAAAUUGAUAUUGUUUAGAUGAAGUUAGAUAUGUAUAGUUCAAAUUAUGAAGUGUGCCAAACGGCUAAUAAGUAUGGAGUGCUCUCCUGAUAACCAUUAUAUGAUUCAUUUAAUGUUUGUUUGAGGUUAGUUUGUUGGUUUUCUUUUUAAUGGGUAUCUGGUUGGGCAUCACAUUAUAUCAUAUUCAAGGCAAUUUUUAGAUCAUUUGCAUGAUUUUUGUGGAAUUCUAAGUGCAGGUAUCGUGUUAGACUCUGGUGAUGGUGUCAGCCACACAGUUCCCAUUUACGAGGGUUAUGCCCUCCCACAUGCCAUCCUUCGUCUUGACCUGGCUGGUCGUGACCUUACUGAUGCCUUGAUGAAGAUCCUCACUGAGCGUGGAUACUCUUUCACCACCACAGCUGAAAGAGAAAUUGUGAGGGACAUGAAGGAAAAACUAUCUUAUAUAG